UCGUCAGCUCGUGUCGUGAGAUGUUGGGUUAAGUCCCGUAACGAGCGCAACCCUUGUCCUUAGUUACCAGCACCUCGGGUGGGCACUUUAAGGAGACUGCCGGUGACAAACCGGAGGAAGGUGGGGAUGACGUCAAGUCAUCAUGGCCCUUACGGCCAGGGCUACACACGUGCUACAAUGGUCGGUACAAAGGGUUGCCAAGCCGCGAGGUGGAGCUAAUCCCAUAAAACCGAUCGUAGUCCGGAUCGCAGUCUGCAACUCGACUGCGUGAAGUCGGAAUCGCUAGUAAUCGUGAAUCAGAAUGUCACGGUGAAUACGUUCCCGGGCCUUGUACACACCGCCCGUCACACCAUGGGAGUGGGUUGCUCCAGAAGUAGCUAGUCUAACCGCAAGGGGGACGGUUACCACGGAGUGAUUCAUGAC
rnacentral:rRNA from 1 species